UACGAAGGGGGCUAGCGUUGCUCGGAAUUACUGAGCGUAAAGCGCACGUAGGCGGUCUUUUAAGUCGGGGGUGAAAUCCUGGAGCUCAACUCCAGAACUGCCUUCGAUACUGGAAGACUUGAGUCCGGGAGAGGUGAGUGGAACUGCGAGUGUAGAGGUGAAAUUCGUAGAUAUUCGCAAGAACACCAGUGGCGAAGGCGGCUCACUGGCCCGGUACUGACGCUGAGGUGCGAAAGCGUGGGGAGCAAACAGG
rnacentral:rRNA from 1 species